AUGCUUGCAAAUCACAUCAGUGUUUGGGUUUUCUUUAAAGGAUAUGGGUUAAAUUUUAUUUCUGGAAAGUCAUUCUGUUUCUCUGUCAUUUUAGUUUCUCUCAUGAGACAACUACAAAACUGCUGCACUGUCCCCAAACCAAAGAUGGAGCUAGAGAACAGUUCUUUCAUGUCCUGCCAAAGCCUGCCAGGAGACAGGGGCCUGGGGAGGCGGCCUCUGUGUGAACACGCCAGCUCCAGGCAGCCGAUACAGAAAACAAGGCUUUCAUCUCCUAUGCGGCUGGUGACAACUGUGUUUUCACGAUAAAGCAGCUGCUGUCUGCUUAGUUGUGAAACCCUAACCUGGAGCACAGGUCCUCCCGUAAUCUGGACCCUCGAAGCCACCAGCCGUCUCUGGUCAUCGCACCCUGUCUGACUGGCUCUUCUCUGCUCUGAGAAGCACUGUUCUCCCUUCUCCCGUGGCCCACGGCAUCCCCGUGGUGAGUUCCAGUGACGCCCAGGCUGCCAAGGGCCCCACCCACCACCUCAUGAUGGGCCUUCGUGGCGAAUAAACAGGGCCCUCCGUGGGAUUCCCACAUUUCACCUGCCACCUGUGGGAGCUGCAAGGUACUGCAUCGCUUCUGCCUUUGAGAACAUCUAAGAAAAUAAACUUCUCUCGUGCUGGACUUUGCCUCUGUUGGACCAAAUGACUUGGUGACAGAGCAGGGCUGAAAGCGCAAGAGCGAUGAGCAGACCAGGCUCACAGGCACGGUAACGGUCAGGCUGUGACCGCACAACCUGUAACCGCCUGUCCUAUCUCAAGGGAAGCAGAAGUUUUUGAGGUUUUUUAUAUUUCAAGUUAUUCUUGUUGGUUUUUCUUAAAUAUAUAAAUGGAAAACAACUUGAUGUUCUGCUGCAUUUAGAAAUAGUGCAGUGAUUACUGUCGUCAAAUUACCGCGCCCAUCAUCUCAGAGUUACCUGUCGGGGGCGAGACCACCUAUAAUCCACUCUGAGCAAAAUUCCAAAUGCACUAUACAGAUAACUAGACUUCUUGUCGUACAUUAGCUAUUUAGAUGAAUUUUCCCUACAUAUCAGCAACUGUGUUUAAAGGAUAAACAGAAUCCUUGCAGUCUUUCUCCUCUGUCCUCUGAGACUAUUCUGCUCCCGGGAGGCAGAAGCCAUCCGGUCCCACACAAAUUGGUUUGAUUCAAUUUAUCCGAAAAGUCGUUUGGAAGUUGUCUGACUGUAUAAGCCCAGUAGGAAGCCAGAUGAUCCCGGCCCCAGAAGAUGUGAUCUCUCCCAGUCACAGAGGAAAGUCAGUAACAAUUGGGUCUAGAAUUCUCCUCGUUGGGCGGUCCACACCGUGGCUGCUACCUAUCUCCACCUGUUGACUAAUUUGCAGCUCGUGCGUCAACACAGCGGUUGGCAGUUCUGGUUCUCGGGAUGCCACGUUGGCUAUCACCAUCGCGUUAGGGUGCAGUAAUCUGAGGAACCUCACAUCCCAGAACUGUUACCAUGCCAUCGUGACGUCACAGAACAGCGCCACGAUUCUGCCUCCUGAUGUUUUGAGCUAAAGCCGCCAGAGGAAAGGAGGAAGGAACUGGGGAAAAUGUCCUGCAGAAUUGAAAUUCAAGCAGCAUUUCUUCUUUCCUCCUUUGUGACCUUCUUCACUGGACUUCUCAUCUUAUCCGUUAUUAGAAUAAGCUGGAGAGUCAUUGAAAAAAGGCAAAGCUUCAAGAGAGCAGGAAUUGUGCAGGUCCGUUGUUUUAUUUGGGGCCCCGCUGUGUGAAAACCAGAGAUACUCUGGUCUGUGUUCGUGUUUCACAAAUAAUCUAGGCUUCCCCUGAGUUUUCGGGCUUGGUCUGGUCCUCCUGAAGCAGUGGGGGGCACAGAAACCCAGGCUGCCAUUCUAAAGCUGGCACGGGUGAGGCCAGGCCUCCCACCCCUGCCUAUGUGGCUGGUGAUGGUGAUGAAUGUUAGUCUGGGACACUGAGGUCACCGCUCUGAAAAUAAAUGCCCGUAAACGUAGUGUCUGCCAUCCCUGCUCUUAGAAAGACAGUUGCACGAGAUACUACAAGGAGAGGAAAAGGAGUAAGAAAUGUCAACUUCCCACACAAGCGCAGCAUGCCUAUCCCAGCC
rnacentral:lncRNA from 1 species